ensembl:lncRNA novel transcript
GCACUCCAGACAGCCAGAAAGCAGCGAGUCGGAAUGUUGCUUGCCUCCCUCUUAUCCCAGCCGGUUUUUAGCCAUCGCUAAGCCUAGGGCGAGGUUUCGGUCCGGUUUCAGCGUUUCUCCUCUACCUAGCCCCCUGAGGACCCCAGAUUUCUCGCGGUACAGAUCCAGAGAGGGUGGGCGAGCCGGGCACUCCCGCCUUUCCUCUGCACAGCGCCCAGCGAUCCGCUCGGCUCGGCCCUGACAGGCGUAAUCUGCCCGGCGUCACCUCCAGCUGCUUCCUCGUUCUCGCUAGUUCCCUCUCGCACGCGAGCGCCAGGAGAAGAGAGAGAUUCGGAGAGGCGGCUGCACGGCUCCGGGGAGACGAGCGGCGGUUUUGCCUCAGUGCUUUUCCCCGGGGUUCCCCCAGAUCUGUGACCCUGCGACGCUUCCUUGAGCGAAAGCGCGCUUUGGGUCGUGUCCUCGUUGGCUCUCUACGGAGCUGGGAUUGUUGUAACCGCAAAGGAGGCAGAAAUGAGGGGAGACCUCUUAGACCAUGGAGGA